ensembl:lncRNA
CCCCCCCCACCCUCAAUGAACACACAGCGAACAUUCCCAACCACCACCUGUCAAGCCUGCUAGGGGGGAUGUCAGCCGCUUUAAAUUCCUUCAGGGCACACACACACACACACACACACACACUCUCCGCGCCACUUAUUAAGGGGGAAAAAUACAAUCCCAAAUUCCCUCUCUCCCUUUGCUGAACAGUGGGAGGGGAGGAGGAGGAGGGAGGAGAGGGAGGGUUAGAACGAGGAAAAACAUUUGCUCUCCUCGUUCCAGAAACAACAUCCAAAUGGUAGCUGAGAGGGAAAUGUUUCGUUAAAUGACUCUUUCAUUGCCUCCCCCUCUCUCCCUUCACCCCCCACCACACACACAACAAUCAGUUGGCCAUAUUGGGAUUAGCAAGUUGCCAAGAAACACGCUCUCCAACUCCCAACACGUUCUCGAUCCUCCAUUUUCAGCUCCUCCGUAGCAGCGAGCAGAAGGCCUGCAGGUGAUCAACUCCAGCAGAGACGCACAUCCGAUGAGCUCAAACGCACAACCGCCCACGCGGUGGAAAUCAGCGGAAUCAAACUCCAACGCAGGAGUCUUGAUCGCAAAUCGAUGCGCCGAAAACCUACCGGAAUCCGAAAAGGACGAUACGAUGAGGGAAACAUCUCAGACACACAGACACACACACACACACAGUAUAACAGCGUGUGUGUGUACAUCUGCUAUCCAUCAGUGGUACUCAGAGCGGGGUUAGCUAGGGGGGAAAUCUCUAUUAUUGAUCUCUGGUUUUUCUCCUCGCUAGAAAAACAUUAAAACUGUAAACCUCUGCUGGCCGCGCACCUCGUAACAUGAAUCCUGGCAGGAAAGCACAAAAUGAGGUCUGCACACAAUUACACACAUGAGGGGCGUGCAGGAUUGCACAUGUCUGUGUCAUGUUGCUAUGGGAAGUUUAUUUCUGACUCCGUAUACAUGUUGAGUUGUGAGUGAACUGGUCUCGUUCGUAGGACACUACAGUCGGCUGGAAUCCUAAAAUAAAGCACCGGCUCACCGGCGGCUGUUUUAACGAUCACUUCCUGCACCGACGGGCUGAAAUCACAGUCGGCCUCUCGUAGUGGUUAAAGCACAGGUGUUAACAAAGGCCCCGUUGUGCAGCGGGGACAACGUGCUCAACACGAGGACCUAAAUGAGCAUCCACACACAGCAGCAUGCCGCACAAAGGCCAGUGGAUUCCCCCCCACCAGACACACAACGUUCUGCUUCUCUUCUUCUUGCAACUCAAACGUUGUUCUGACAGUUGAAUGAAAAACACACCUGCGUGUGUGUGUUUGAGACGUGUGGCUGCACAGAGAUCUCCUGUGAAGACGGCAGGUGUUUUGUGUUUUUUUACACACUCCUCGUGCCAAAACGCAGACGCACACGCACAACUAUGCACAGAACGCACGGUUGCAAACGCACAUUGAUCCAUCUACACAACAUUUAUCAUGAACUAAAGGGGCACACUGACUGACUGACAAUCAUCUGAUCCCUUUUUUUAAAAGUCCUGAAUGUUAUCGGGGACAUUUGUCCCCCUUCGAUCAGAUUGAAGAUGAAUCCGGCGAUAUCAACGUAGACUGAAAAAACAAAAACAAAAAACCAAGCGAUGGCGGCGCAACUCUUUCAUUCAAUUUCUACAGACAAAUGUAUCGGCCAAUCUCUCAGCCGCACGUUGUGUGCGCGUCGAGCACACGCGGCCCGUCACCGCGUGGGUGGCGUCACGGCCCUUUGUGAACCUGAGCCGCGUGUGCAGGGAGGACCGUAAGGGGACGAGUCGAGACUCCACAGGCGGACAGACGCAACGCAGCGUGUGACCUUUGUGUGUUGCAGGCUGCUGUUUGCGUUGAAGGGGGAGGGCUCAGAGAGUGACUUGGCGAACGCUUUGAGUAGUUCGACGUGCCGCGGCACGCUCGUUUCCUCACAAGCGCACACACAACCGGCCUAUCGCCCUUUGGUUUGGCAACACUGUGUGUGUGUGUGUGUGUGUGUGUGUGUGUGCGCGUUUGUUUGUCUCCGACAGGUUUAUUGUGGCGAGGCAGCAGAGCCUUGUGGCUUCUCUUAAGGGGGCUGUUUUCUCUCCUGAAGGAUUCAAUUAAUCUGAGAGUGGACAUGUCUUGUCCCCCCCCCCCACACACACACACACACACACACAACAUAUGUGGGGGGUCUGUCCUUAAACACAGACUCCCCACAUUCAUUUUAACGUAAACGGACGCACUAAACCAAGACAAAUCGGUGUUGGCCAAGAAGACCCUGCGAGCUGUGUGAGUUAUGCUUACACCAGCGCCCAUGUGUGAGAAAGAGGGAGAGACACUCCAAGUGCUUCCACAUUUAUCCAACCCUGCACGACGUGUUGUGGUCGAGAUAAAUCGCUUCCUUUCUCUCUGCCGAGCGUCCCGGGGGGGAAACCCCAGCUCUAACUGCACUGAGCACAAUCACAUGCUGCACAUUCCACAUCCUCACACACACACACACACACACACACAACGACAAGAUCAGCUCUAUCUCGCUUGAAUAGCCAAACCGUGCUCUCCACCGUAGUGAUUUGUGCCCACUUUAAUUCUCCUUCUCCAUUUGUCUUGAGGUGUUUUCAUCUCCAUUUAUUGACUUACUCUCUCUGCACUCUGCGUCGCACUCCCAUGCUACUCCCUGUAGUGUGUGUGUGUGUGUGUGUGCGUGUACACAGAGGGAAAGAGAUGAGACGGAAAGUUGCAGGUUCAGACGAGUUACUGCUGAGGUUUUUGCCGAUGGCCGUCGCCGCCCUGAAGGACAUAUUUGCCUCAUUAAAGCUGCGUUUGUUCCAAAGCGUACUCCAGAACGCGUAAGGUCAUUCGCCAUAGUUUCCGUAAUCGUCAACAUCAGCAGCAGGUUUCGACGACACAGGAGAUAAAUUCCAGUGUGUUGUGCAGGCUCGCUUCGGCAGUUUGCGCUUUCUUUGCGAUGCCUGUGAUCAACUGAUGACCUACUGGAACGAUGUGAAACUAAAUGUAGCGACUAGAAACGUAGCUCCAAAUGAACAUCCUUUAUAAGAGCAAAUACUUAUUUUGCAGCUCUAUGGUCUCUCUUUACCACGGGAGGCCGGAGUGCUCGUUGGGGGGACGCGGCGGCUCACCGCUCCAUCGGCUGUGACGUCUCAGCGAUGCCGCUUCAGACGCCUGGUUUAUUAGCGCGUGUCGUAAACACACGUCGGCCAUCACGUAAAGCACCAAAUUCAGAUGGAAGGCAGAAAGUGAAGAAUGCAUCGACACCAGCGCAAACUGGUGGUGGAGGAAAGUGGAUACAUGCCCAGCGUGGAGAAGAUCAACGUUACAAACGACCUCCAACGCCCUCCUGCUACGGCUACUCGGCGUGCAGCGGGAUGCACCACCUCAGAGCAACAGUCGUGCAGUUUUAUUUGUAUCCAGGUAGCGAGCAUCGCUGAACCAACUCGCUUUCUCACUGGAAACUGAAAAAGGGGAGAAGGUCACAGCGAUUUCAUAGGUUGGAGCAGCCGCUAACACAAGGCCUCAUCGCUGCAGUAUUGAACCCGCCUGCACACGGAGGUCCUGCCGACGUGUGAAGCAUGAAGUACAUUGGCCACGUUGUCACCGGUCCGGCUGGUCAGCAGCACUUCUCCUGCUCCAAGCGCACAGGGGGGAAGCCGCUGAUAACAGGGGGUGAAGUGCUCCCCACAAACUGAUCAGAAGAGCAACCGAGUGGUCACCAGCAGAUGACCAAGCCAGGGGUUCGGGGGGGGGGGGGGAGAACCGAUCUGUGGGAGGUGAAACGCAGAGGAACGCUGGCUUCGUCCUCGAUGCACUCCCUCUGCGAUAAAAUAAUCUCAACAGUGAUAGUAGAGUCUCUCCAGCGCCGUCACAUUUCAGCGGUUCCUACCUCAGAGGGAGGGAGGAGGCCAGAUGGCCUCAAUCUGCUGGUGGUGUGUGUGGGGGGGGUUGGGGGGCCAGCAGAUCUCCUCUAGACAGAGGACCAUUUACAGCCAUUUCCCAUCUAUAAACAGUGACAGACCCCAUCGUGUUUAGAUGGGAAAAAAAAUACUGCUGCAGGUAUUUGGUGGAAGAGAAUUAGGCCUUUACGGAGCGUUGGAGCAGCCCGAUUGUUAAUAAACGCUUCACACUGCAUUUACAACUGCACCCGCGCACGUCACCCUUCAGUCGGGGAAAUAAAAGGAGACGCUAUACUUCGUUAAGUCAGGUGGAAAUCCCGUUAAAACCAAACUGAAAACAGACAACAAGGGAGGAUCCUGGGAAAUAUGGGCUGCGUUAGGCAGCAAUAAACACUCCGCCCCGCCAUCAGGAGGUCAGCCAAACACAACAGAGCAAAACAAGCGUACUCGGUUCCACGAAAGGCUUGUAAACAGAGACAGUAGCGGAGUGACCUUGGCUCCUCUGGUUGCACGCCAGUUCUUCGAGCUCCACAUUCUCGGCAUUUAAUUAAAAACAGGAACAUUAUGAACGGUGGCGAUUGCCGGGUGAUUGUCGCGUGGCCGCGAGGCGCUGGCGCAGGCCUGGGACCGAGCUCUCCGCCGGGUUCGGCUAAUGCAACGUGCAGGGAUUUGAGAGGGAGGAGUGAAGCUAAGCGACCCGCGUCGCACAGCGCCGCGUUUCAGUGGGCGAAGGCUUGAGAGCGUGCGGCGUCGAGAUGAGAGUCGGAGGGCGAGAAGGUCGGCGUGUGGGCAGAAUAAAACGGAUCCCGUUCUAAAGGAGUGUUUCAAAAACCGGCAAUAUGGGAUUGGAACAGCGGUCGGGUCAAUUACUCUUCACGCACCCACCGAGCAGGUCUGUGCAAACGCACACCGCAAGCACUUCAGUCACACAACUGAUCAUCUCGCCUGGAAAUAUUAAAGAGGUUGUUCGCAAGCUCCAAAAAGUAAAAAAUGAACUUCUCUUUGCCACGGUGCACACAAUCAUCCCGACACUCCGAGUUGAUUUCUUCUUCGCUCUGCCCGACCUUUAGCACCUCACACACCAGGUGACAAGGAGCGCAUCAGCUGAAGCGAUGAGGGGAACGCGACCAAACUGGCGUAUCGUCGUCCCCGUGGGUUCACCUCUGAAAGGGAACCAGAGGAACUGUAAUCGCAUCCGUCUGCCUGCCUCGUGACUUCAGGGGGGUGGAAGUAACUCGAUGAGAGCAUUUGUCAGACUUUCCAAAAGACACCGCGCACACAGACACACACACAUGGAUGACAGCGCUCUGACUUUCCCUUUGACUGACCACAAAGCGACGUAUGCAAACACGCAGCGGUAUCUGUACGGUUUCCCCCGCAUGUGGUCAUUUCAAGGCUUUCAUUACUAAUAGCAGGAUCGGGCAUCGCUCCGCUCGCAGGGAAAGUAAAGAGGAAAUCACCAGCUCAGCAGGGAACAACAACACACUGCAGAUCAUCUACUGACGGAGACAAACACACACACGUAAACAAACACAUGGAGGGUUUGCUGCCCGACCACAUCAAACCUGUCCGGUUUGAACCCGACGUGUGAUUCAUUUAUGUGAGCACACGCACAUACAAGACACCCCCCCCCCCCCCUUACAAAGAUUCCCCAGAGUGCUUAGAGCAGCAUUGAGGGUCUCAAACACUCACACACACACACACACACACACACACAAAUGGUUCCAUGCUGGUAAAAGCAACAUCAGCCAUUUGCCAAAUGUUCCAGCAGAGUGGCUUAUUACUGCAAAAACUGAAGACUGAAGCACAGCCAUUUUACCUCUGACCAACAGGGUGCAGGUGGUCUGUCACUGAGGUUACAACCCCCCCCCCCCCCACACACACACACACACACACACACACAACCGCGCAUAUAUAUAUAUAUAUAUAUAUAUACAUAUAUAUAUAUAUUACACACACACACACACACACACACACACACACCCCAAGACCGUUGCACCUGACCCGCAUGCUGCUGCAACAACACCCGCAGCACAACAGGCGGCCGCUGUUGGCGCGUCGGUCAUCGCGCACAACAGUGAGCGCGAUGUCAUACUUUCACAUCUGAAACUUGUCACAGCUUUGCAACAGCCACACCUCCUUAUGAAACCUAACCAAGUGGGGGGGGCAUUUUCCACAGAAGACCGUAGCUGCAUCCAAGAAAUGACCGCACCAACGCUGCGUAUUUGUUUGCACAUAUAUAUAAAUAUAUAAAUGGUGUUGUUUUUUUGCGCAGCGUUAUUUUAAGUUAAUCAUAGUCACGGAGCGGAGCGGUCGGACACCGUUUACUUACUGUGGUGUGGAUGUAGGUUAAUGGGCGAUGGCAGGAAUUUUCCGGAGUGGAGGGGCGGCGCGUGGCCGUGGCCGGGCGAGGGAGGCAUCCUCCCGGCCGCGGCUGCCGCUCCGAGUCGGGGAGACUCCAUCGUGAGCCCCGGCAGCAACGGCGGCGGUACGUGGACGGAUCGGGGAGGUCCAAAAUCUCUGCCAUCCAUUAUCCACAGUGGGGAAAGUUGUGAAAAGAAAUAGUCCGUCUGGAGAGGCCCCUUAUUCUGUAAAAGACGAAUUUUUGGGGGGGGCGCUACGAUACUGUCUUUAGUUCCCCUGGCGAUUCGGGCUUCUUUUCAGCCAUCCCGCCGACCUACGAAAAUACAACAAGAAAACAUUCGCUUGACACACGAUCUGACGCACACUGAUCACACUGUUAUUGGGGGGGGGGGGGGGGGGGUUCUCCUCUUUGCGGCGGGCGGUCAGUGCGCGAUGACGCAGUUCGGAAAAGCGCUCGAGAAGCUGAACGAGCUGGACGCGCUGCUCGACGGCACAAGGUCUCCUUCCAACUCCAACUUCCACCAGCAAGACGACGAUCUCGCGUAAUGUCAGCGAGCGCCGCAGCGGCAGCAGCAGCGGCGGCGGCGCUCCUCCACCCGCCUCCACCGAGCAGACAGCUCCGCUCCCCGGGAAAACAAGCACCAGGAGCGGCGGCGGCGGCCAGCCGCUCUGCCCCGGCCGUGGAAACCACACGCAGACCCCGCGAGGGGAAAAGAAGAAAAAAACACACACGGACGCUAACAAACCUGUUCGGUCCUCUUUUUCGUUUGUUUUAGUUCUGCUAUUGCUACGAUUGUGCAGCUGUUUCCCAGCGGCUCGCCCUGUAAGUCAAUACGCCAUAAAUACUGGAGGCGCAUCAAAUAUACAUUUCAAACGGGUUAAAAAUAAAUGCGGGUUGCCAGAGUCUGCCGCGCUGAUCGGCGGGGUUUUGUUGCCCGCGUAUUGCGGCCGCGGUCCGGGCGGCUGCGCCUUCUGGACGCGGGUGCUGCUCCAGCGGGAGAGAUCAACGAGCCCGACCCGUAAACACGGUCGGUCCACUGGCGUCCUCGUUCCGUAUCAAAGCUCCAGCACCGGAGCUCCAGCUGGUGUUAAGAUAUAAUAAUGCGAUUCACAUGAUGGAUGCGCGGCCAUUCGGAUUAAUCGGCUCGCGUCUCGAAUCUUUGGUUAAAAAAAAUAAAAAAAUUUAAUAAUUUUGCUAAACUGACAGUCUCCGCGGACAUGCGUAUGCGAUACAUUAAAAAACACACAAAUAGAAUAAAAGUUACUUUAAGCAGAACAACAACAAGCAUUUGCGACUUUACCCGAAGGCAGCGAGAAUCGGGGGUUUCGUGUGUAUUUUUUGUGCAUUUUGCAGAAUAAUAAUAAAAUAUAAUAACCCAAACUAUGUGACCAAUGUGUAUUUAAGUAUGAAAAAAAAACAACAGCGAGGCGAAAGUCCAGUUGAACCUUCAAAAGGCUGCAAGCAAACAACCCAGCGAGGACUCGUGAUAUGCGGGCGGGAUCGGAAGGACGGUUCAGAGAUCACCAUAAACCUGCUUUUACCCGGAGACAAACGCACCAGACGGGACACGAAUGUCUCCUCGGAGCCCCCCAGGAACACGCACGGACAGACGGGGGGGGGUCGGAGGCUCCUCUGGUCCGCCGCGGUCGAGCGCGCGGAGCAGCGCUUUCAGCCACGUUUCAAACUUUUUCACGGUUCCUUUUCGCGACACGCAAAACUUUCUCGGCGGAAACGUCUCGAAAGUCGCACCG